CGCACAUUGCGCCCUUUGGUAUUCCGAAGGGCAUGCCUGUUCGAGCGUCAUUAUCACCUCUCAAGCCUGGCUUGUUGUUGGACCCCCAGGUCCGGGUUCACCCCCGACCGGUCUCAAUAGUAAUGACGGCGUCCGUGGGACUCUCGGUGCAACGAGCUUUUUACGAGGCACGCACGGAGUCGAAAAGUCCCCCGGCACGGUCUCUCAAAAUCUUUUUUCUUAAGGUUGACCUCGGAUCAGGUAGGAAUACCCGCUGAACUUAA
rnacentral:misc_RNA from 1 species